rnacentral:rRNA from 1 species
GGAGUUAGCCGGUGCUUCUUCUGUGAGUGAUGUCCUUCCUGCCGGCUAUUAACCCGCAGGCCUUCUUCCUCACUGAAAGUGCUUUACAACCCGAAGGCCUUCUUCACACACGCGGCAUGGCUGGAUCAGGGUUGCCCCCAUUGUCCAAUAUUCCCCACUGCUGCCUCCCGUAGGAGUCUGGGCCGUGUCUCAGUCCCAGUGUGGCUGAUCAUCCUCUCAGACCAGCUACGGAUCGUCGCCUUGGUGAGCCGUUACCUCACCAACCAGCUAAUCCGACAUAGGCUCAUCCGAUAGCGCGAGGCCCGAAGGUCCCCCGCUUUCCCCCGUAGGGAGUAUGCGGUAUUAGCCUGGGUUUCCCCAGGUUAUCCCCCACUACCGGGCAGAUUCCUAUGCAUUACUCACCCGUCCGCCGCUCGCCACCAGGGAGCAAGCUCCCCGUGCUGCCGCUCGACUUGCAUGUGUUAGGCCUGCCGCCAGCGUUCAAUCUGAGCCAUAAUCAAACUCUGA